GUAGGUCCCACACUAGGAACAGGGAUUGGAGAAUGGACAAGCUUUGCUGCCAUUUUGUCUCCUGUGAAGAUGAAGCUCUUGGGCAAGCUCAAAUUUUAUCUGUGAAUAGGUUUUGCCGUUUUGGUUUUCAUCCAUGGACCAUAUCUUAGGCAAGGCAAGCACUUUUUGUCAGAGGCUUUUUCCUAUGCUUGCCGAUCCCCGUCAUCCUGCUGAAUCAACUGGUGCAAGAAAUGAGUCUGCACUUAAGGUUCCACUUGAUCAUGGAAAGUCUGCGAGUUAUAAAAUCGCAAGACAGGGCUGUGAUCUUCCAAAAGGUCGGAGAUGCAUCUGUGGCCAAGAUUAUUGAGCUUGAGACUAGCAUUUGCGUACCUUGCUUUAUAACACAUACCAUCCCUAUCAGUUUUGAAACUGUGUAUAAGAGAGUAUGUGUUUUAAGAACUUGGCUAUUGUGGAGUAUGUGUUUUAAGAACUUGGCUAUUGUGCCUACCUUCAUAUUGUAUGAAUAUAAGUAUAUUCAUUUGUAUGAAUAUACGUGGGAAGCUUUUCCCAAAAUGAUUUUGUUCUAAUUUUUUGCUUGGUUUCACCAAGGCAACAAUGUUUCCCAUACAAUGGGGGAGUUUCUUUAAUCUGGCCAAGGCUUUUGGGUCUUCAGGAUACUAAUGCAAUGUAAUAUGAUAUACAAAA